rfam:Camelus ferus isolate Naran unplaced genomic scaffold scaffold91315, whole genome shotgun sequence.
CCAACGGCUCUUUUCAGAGCCACUUCACGUUCACACAGUAGUAGCUG